AGCAGACGGACAGUGAGAGCCGGACUUUAUAAAUGGUUAAAGACUAGACCAGACAGCAUGGAGCGGUGGCUAAACAGCUGAAAAUGAACCAUCAACAUGAUCAAGCUUCUCAUACAUGUUGCAACUCUACCACUGUGGGUGACAGGGCUGUCACAAACAGACAAAGUCCAGCAGACUCCUACUGCAAUACUAAAUGGACCUGAAGAUAACGUUCAACUGAACUGCAGCCAUACUAUUCCAACCUACAACAGGAUACUGUGGUACCAGCAGUCAGCACAAAACACUGCUCUGAAACUCAUUGGGUAUGUGCAAUUCACCAGUCCAACCGUGGAAGAUUCCUUUAAAGAGCGUUUUACUGUGAGUGGAGAUGCUGCAACUGGGAAAAUGGCAUAUCUACAUAUUCCUAAACUGAGAGGAACUGAAGACAGUGCAGUGUAUUUCUGUGCUGCUACUUAUGCACAG
rnacentral:lncRNA from 1 species